UGGCAACUAUGAUGACUCCUCUUGACUCUGCAGUGCACAUGGUUGCAACCUGAAGACAGCAGUCCCUCUAAACUGAUGUUGCCU